rnacentral:rRNA from 1 species
CUAGCCUGCCCGUUGAAUUAUUUUGAAAGGCCGCGGUAUAUUAACUGUGCAAAGGUAGCAUAAUCAUUAGUUUUUUAAUUGAAGGCUUGUAUGAAGGGUUGGACAAAGAAAAAUCUGUCUUUGUUUUUAUUUUUGAAAUUAACUUUUAAGUGAAAAGGCUUAAAUGAGUUUAAGGGACGAUAAGACCCUAUAAAUCUUUAUAUUAGUUUAUUUUGUGAAUAGUAGGUAAUUUUAGCGAGGUGAAAUAUUUUAUUGGGGUGAUGAGAAUAUAAACUAACUGUUCUAAUGUGAAACAAAAGUGUUUGAUUAAGUAGAAGAUCCUUUAUAAAGAUUAAAAGUUUAAGUUACUUUAGGGAUAACAGCGUUAUUUUUUUUGAGAGUUCUUAUCGAAAAAAAAGUUUGCGACCUCGAUGUUGAAUUAAAAUUUCUCUGUGGUGCAGCUAUUACAGGA